UGUUUGAGAAUUUGUAUUGACCAGAACUCUGCUGGCUCGUUCUCUGCUUUAGAGAGUAAAACUUUUAUUAUUUUUAAAGAGCAUAUUUAGAAACAUAUUGUUUCUUAAUUUGUAUAAGAAAUAUCCAUUGUGUGUGGUCCAGAUAGAUGUACAUGUACUGGAUAUGUAUAGUUUUGAAUAUUGCUUUUCAUUCCUUUGAGUUCUGUAAUUUCUGGAGAACCAUGGGUGAUUCCGUGGAGGUUUUUACUGCUGAAGCCUGCUGCUUUCCCAGAGGGUCUGAUAAGAGCAUGUGUUACUCCAGGGCCUCCAAAGGCAGAAGCUAAAAAUGAGGCCUAUGAUGAGAAUUGAAGACUUCUGAUGCUGACUUUGAAUCUCUGUCCCUCUUCCUUUCCCUCAUCUCCUUCCUCAUUAAUUUUUCAGCCAACCUUGUUCCCCAUCCAGCAAGCAAACCUUCUGAGGUGCUGGCUGUUAAUAAACAGUUCAACACAGUAGCGUGGUCCCGUGCUAGCACAUGUCUCCUGACCUGGGGUAUAUUAUUUCUUUUUUGUGAAAAGGAUUUCUCUGUGCUUUUAAGAGUACACAGGACUCCCGCGGUGUGUUCAUAGUGUGACUAUGUAGGUUCGUGUGUGUGUAAAUGUGUCUGAGCCAUGUAUGUGUGUGUGUCUGUCUUCUAAAGCUUCUGGGGAGAGGUUAACGCUGAUCCCCACAGGCAGCCUUUUUCACUUCUAUGGGCAGCUGAGGGGGUCUCUGGAAGCAAUCUUGGGGCAGUUGUGAGAAUGCACCUCACAAGGCUCCAGCUAUGGACAGCAAAGCUGAGUCUGGCUUUUGGGAUCUGUGACCCAUCUUCUUGUUUGCAUCAAAUUCACUCUUUCCAGCCAGUGACUAUUGCAUAGAAACACUAAAGCAGACCUGCUCCUGAUUCCCUCUUUGAACAGUUGGCUGCAACUCAAGGACUUCCUGACGAAGGACAAGUAUUUAUAGACUGCAGGACCACCCGGGUGUUCAGUCCUUCUUUUCUUGAUGGAGAAUAUGGCUUGCAUUGCAGAUUGACCGCUCUCCUAUCCAUACCAGCUCCCCACAUACUGUCUCUCGCAAACUAUUCCCUUGUUCAAUCCUUGCAUGUUUAUCUUAUUUUUCCAUCUGCUUCUUGGAGGCUCCAGAGUAACAUGUGCUCUUUUCAGUCCCCUCUUGGAAAGCAACAAGCUUCAACAGUAGCAAGGCCUUCCACUCAUGGUGCUCAAACUUACAGAACUCAGGAUGAGAAAGGAUAAAAAGCAAUAUUCAAAACUACACAUAUCCAGCGCAUGUACAUCUAUCUGGGCCACAUACAAUAGGUAGUUCUUAUAUAAGUCUUUUAAUUUAGGAAACAAUUGGUCAUAAUUCUAAUCUGAGGGCUGUUAUUGUUAAAAAUAGUACUUAUUUCAUAUGUGCUAUUGACAAACAUUGUGUAAAGAAUAUCACAUACAUUAUUUCAUUUAAUUUUCCAUUUAGAGAGGAGGAAAUUAUGUAGAGUGAUAGUAUUCUACACACUAUUUAUCCCCUCAGACUUUUUUUCAAAUUGAUUUAUUAUCACCUGUUGACUCAAUUGCUUAAACAUUUCUGGAAUAACCUUGGGAGACAGUUGAAAAAUUUGCUCUGGGUCACACAGUGAGUAACAUCAGAGGAAGGAUUCAAACUCAAGAUUAUUCACCUCCAAAGAAUUCUGUUCCUUAGAACAAUAGUGAGCACUUAGCAAGAGUUAAAUGCUCAAAGAACAAAUAUCAAUGAAGUGCACCAUUAGAUGGUAGCUGUUAGACAGCAGACACAAACUAUGAGUCCCAAGCAACCUCGAGAAACCAAGCUUUCUCUUGGGAGAAAAGUACCUAUCUUAGAAGCCACAAAAAACGUUUAGAAUAUUGAACAAACACUGUGUUUCUCUAAAGCAAUAAGAACAACAACAAAGCCAGAACACUGUAGUAACGUUACAUGCAAUGUAACUGCUUAGGUCAAGCUGAUAACAUUUAAGCUUUCUUUGGGUGUAGGAAUCAUAGUAUCAUGUUUUCCUUAUUUCUUUACGACCACAGAAAUUCCAAGUUGCAAAAUGAGCUAACUGUAAAAAACAAUCAUUCACAUCUUUGAAAAUUAUUCACUCUUUUCCGUCUGUUUUCUCACUGCGAAAUAUUUUUGAGCCAUGUUUUUGCUACCCCCUAUUUAUAGCUUUCCAGUUUUGGCAGGUAUGGGAAAGUUUAUAAGUGGUUUGUUUUCUUUGCUAUAUCCACUGUUGAUUUAAGUCUCUUUUGCCCCUGAAACAAUUGGAAGCACUUUCAAGGAAGGCAAAGUCUGUUGACGGCUGAUAACAUUGUGAAGCCCAAAUCCAGAUUUCUUUGGAAGACUCAGGUCACUUAGAAAAUCUUAGUAGCUUUAUGGUUCAAAUAACUGUAAUUAUUUCUUUCUCUUCUUUUGCUUGUAUGCAUGUGUGAGUUCAUAGGCGUGUAGGUGUGUAUAUGUGCACGCUGACUGUUGUGGAGGAAGUUUGUCCUUGACAUAGUUAGGAAAAGCAUCCCUUGGACACAUUCCAACUCCUUGGUAACUCUGAGUUUGACUCUCAGUUUGACAGUUGGAUAAAAAAGCAUGAAGCAGGCGGGCCAGUCACAUCUGAACUUUGGCAUGUGAAGACCUUCGUUAUGGACCUAAGUUUAACAGCUGGGUUUUAACCAAGUUUUAUGUACUAACCAGAAACAAACAUUAGUGGUUCUUUGUUUUGGAGAGAUACCUGGAAUUUCUGGGUUUUGUUUCAUAAUGACUGAACUAAAUAAAUACAAUUGAAAGCCACUAGAAUCAUAGGCAUUUUCCCCCCCUCCCAUCUGGCAUGUUUUUAUGGGUGGUAUUUUUUUAACUGAAUUUUUCCACACUUUUCCUCCCUAUAAUUUGUGGGCCUUGAGAAAAGUCAUAGUUUACCCUGUAAAUGUGGAGGGCAGCUUUGUUUGGGGUCAUCCCACUUUUUCUUGUUGCCUGGUUUUUGUCUGCGGUCUAUUGGGGUGAGGACCACAAACAAUAAAGAACCCCAACAGAGAGAGAUUGAUUUCCAACUUCAAAUAUGUUGGGAAAGACUGCCGUGUUUCAGAAAUUAAAUGGCUCCUGGGAAGUAAACCUCCUUGGGGACAGGAGCUGAACUUGAGGCUGACUGCCUGUUUUCUGAUCUGCAGAGGCUGGAAAAGGAUAGAGCCAUAUACCAGCUUACAAGGGAGCCCUUGCAAAGCUCCAUCCAUCUUCGGGGUGGGGGACGCAGAAAAGCCAGUUCACAGAAACCUGGGAGAACAGCACUUCCCCCAGUGGAUCAUUUUGACUUUGGGGAAGAGCCAAAAGUUGUAUGGUGCCAGAUUCAGUGAAUAAUGUGGACACGACAACAUUCAUCAUGUUUUCUUGUAUCAUACCAGGUUGUUAUACAGAUAAAAUGAAUUUGCCAAGUGUCUAGAAUACAACAGAUGAAUGUGAAUUUGCCAAGUGUUUAGAAUACAACAGAUGCCUCAUAAAUGUGAGUAUCUUUUCUCUCAGUAGCUGAUCUCUUGAUCAUGCGACCUGUGGAGGCAGGGCUCCUUGCUUACAAUGAAGGUACCCGCUUGUUAUUUCAUACCCUGUUGUGAUUCCUUUAAAAUUCUCAACAUUGUCUGGGGAGGGGCUCAUAUUUUUACUUUGUGCUGGGCCUUCUGAUUUAUACAGUGAUUGUCCUUUUCCUUUUUCUUUCUUUUCCCCCCUUUUCAAACUUCUUGGGUCAAACAGUUGUUCUCUUGGUUGUCUGGAGCAGUCAUUUAUCCUCAGGGUGUUCUGGCUCUCUGCGCGAUCCUCAUGGCUGAGCUCCAUUUCCUUUGACCUUGACCAAGACCUCACACGUCUCAUGUAUAAUACUGCAUUGUCACCUUGCUCUGGUUGUGGAAUUGGUCAAGAAACACCUCUGAAUGCUUAAACCUUUUCUUAAAAGAAUAUGAUCAUCCAUAACUUCCAGAAGACUCAGCCUAGAGAUAGUAUAGGUCUCAUCAGCAGCCAAAUUGUCAACUCCAGGAAAUUAGACCACUGUAGGUUGUAUGUGCUACCCCUCAGUCUUCUGCACUAGGGCAAUAUUAAGUGUUGUGAGGCCUAAACUUAGAUAAUUUGAAAGCCCUCUUUAGAAAAGAAGUACAUUAAAGAUAUACCACUAACUGAAAUUUUAAUAGAAUGUGUUAACAUAGCUUACACAUAGGAAGAAGUUCUAACAUUUCACUAGAAUUAUCAGCACUGUUGUGUACAAUAUUCAUUAGGUUAUGAGCUGACCCAUCUAACGGAUAUCCAAUAAAUGUUCAUUAACUUCAUUAAAUUAUAGCUGGCAAUUGUGAAUGUUUUAUCUAAGUAUUUAUGUCCUUAACUAAAUGACAAUUAUUUUGAUAGUAUAGAUGGACAUAAAAUUGUUAAUUAUUUAAAUCUUCCAUAGUAUUAAUGUUAAGAUGGAUAGACAAUAGAUAGACAUAUAGAUAGAUGAUAGAUGGGUAGAUACAGGAUAUGUUGCAGAAUACACUUUGUUGCAUAAUGUAUUUCCAUAGUUAUGAAACACGUUCCCUUUCCAUCUAUCUCUCUAUCUAUAGGUUUGUUAUGUAACAUGUCCCCUUGCUGUGUGUCGGGACAUAAAACCAAGUGCUUCAUCUUAUUAGGAGUUAUCAAACUGGUAAUUUGCCUUCUUACUAACUUCUAAGUAGAAUGUAUUUUAAAUAUUACCUGGCGAGAUCAUCAAUUUACCGAUGAAGAAGUAGUCCAAAGAAAUUAAUUAGUUUUUAAAAAGCAGUAUUAGAACUGGGUUAGAAUUUAGGCUGCUCAAAUUGGGAUUCAAUAAUUAUUUUACUACAGAAUGUUGAGUGUAGGUCUCAGGGAUAGAAAAAGGAAGAAAUAGACAUUUUGUGUGAUUUACUUGUGUUACAAACAAUUUAAGCCUUCUUAACAUUAAAAAAUAGUUUUGUUUCAUUGGUUUCAUCAGAAAAAGCAGGUGAAUUAAUUUGCCUUCUAAAGAAUCCAUUGUAUUGAAACAUGGAGGAAGUAUACAGAAUUAGAGUGGUUAUAUCUCAUAAAGAUAAUGUUUAUGAUUUAUGGUACUGUCUUAUUACUUUUUAGA